GUUAUUCGUUAAUUUUUCAUUCGAUAGAACAAAAGCAAAUGGAAUCUACAGUAUAUUUAUCCUAAACCUUCCCUCCCACUCGCGUACUAAAGUCAUCCCAACAAUUGUUCAUCGUUAAAUAAUCUUUGGAAGAAGGAAUUGGUGAUUUGCAUAUUUAUCAAAAGGAAUCUUAUUAUGUCGUAGUUAAAUGAUAGCGAUUAGCAGACCGAGAGGUUAGUAGAUGGGAGGGUAGGUGGAUUGGAUUGGGUGGAGCAAUGAACAUGAAAGCAAACGUUCUUCCAACGAUAUAUACGAUCGGUUGAGUCAUCGUACGAGUUGAAGUGGCAUAUUCCAACGUAAAAGUUCAAAGGAACUCGAGAAUAAACGGGGAUGUAGGAGGAGGGAGAGGAGAGAUGGGGAAUAGGAACGGAGAGAGAAUGUUUUUCUACAAAUAUGUCGCAUCAAUAUUUCAGCAUCGAACGAAAUAGAGUAGGCAACGAAAUAAAAGAAAAGAAAAGAAAAGAAAAGAGGAGGAAGAAGACAGGUACAAGCAGCAGGCAAACAGGCAAGCAAGCAAGGAAGGAAGGUAAGGCAGGCAAAGUCCGUGGAGCGUUUCCAUAGGAGUAGAGGAUGCGGAGAAGACGACAGUGCACGACGAGAGCUGGCAACGUUGGACGGGAUAUAAUACUCUGGUCGGCGAACGGCAACAGCGCAAAAGGGAUCCUCGUUGAGAGAGAUCGUUUGGGAUUUCGAAGAAGGGAGGAGACCCUGUAAUCCUCUGCCCGUAGAAACCUCUCGCGAUACCCGACACGAGAGCGGAGGAAAUUAAGUCGAAGGAAGAGAAAGACGGAUAGAGGUUAGAGAAGGUAGAGAUGGCAAAGAACGAGGAGAGAGAGGAGGAGGUAGUGGUAGAGGUGGAGAUAUAGAUGGGAGAGAGGAGAGGCGGGCGAGGUUAGGGGGGAAAGGGGAAGAGAGGAGAGAGCGCACGCGCGCAAAAGCAUUUGCGCGCGGGUUGAAAGAAGCCACGGAGAAGGGCAAGGAGGGGAAAGAGGAGAAAGGAGACACCGAGACGAGACCUCGAUCGAAGUCUUCCUCCGGCGGCGCAUUCAGAUCCGUACGGAUAAAAGCCCUUGCGGAUGUUUUUGCAGAGCGGCCAUGACGGCACCAGCCUUUCCCUCGCUUCGUAGAAAGAAGAUAAACUUAUAUGUAUAUAUUUCAUGUAUUUUACCGAGUUGAAACGUGCGUACAAAAGAAGGAAGUAUAUCGAAAUGCUCGAGGGGAUAUAUGUAUAUAUAUAUUUGAGAAAAGGAAGAGACUACUUCAAAAAGAAGAGGUGCAUGUACGUAAGAGACUAAAGUAUAGAGAGAGAGAGAGAGAGAGAGAAGCAGAAAAUGGCGUCGGUAAAGGUUACCCACCAUUAACGUUUAGUCACCGUCGACGUGUACCUUCCAGACAGUUAGUUCUUUUUAUUUUCUUUCUUUCUUUUCCUUUUUCUUUUUUCUUUUUUAUUUUAUUCCUCCAAAGAGAGCUCGCGGAAUAUUGUAUCUUGUAUAAAAAUGAGAGAAAAAAAAAAAGGAGAAUUUGUAGAAAGAGGUUGGUUGCUCUCGGUGAGAAUAAUACACGAGUAUGGGUAUAACGUCCAUCGAUGAUGACGAGGUGGUGGAGAAAGAGAAUGGGAGGAGAAGGGGAAAAGGACGAGGAGGUGGGAGGAGGAGGAGGAGGAGGAGGAGGAGGAGGAAGAAGAAGACGAACGAGAGAAUGACGGCGUAGUUCCCUCGACGCAGAAAUAAGGGGAGAUUGGGGUGCGGUGGUGUGGGGUGGCCUGGGGAAGAAGCAGGUUCUCUCUCAUUCUUUCUCUCUUUCUUUCUCAAGAGAGAAAGAGAGGGAGAGGGAGUGCGCAAGGAGUGGGGAUAAUCGUCGAUAAGAGGAUGAAAGGGCCAUGGUGAUUGGUCGAACGGUAAGAGAAGAGCGAUGCGCAGACGCAGCAUCGAAGGCUCGACUUUUCUCAGCGAGUCGAUCGGCCGAUCUCGCGCGAGUUGCACGUACUACUCUGUUCGCUCUCUUUAAAAAAAAGAAAGAAAAAAAAAGGAAAGAAACCGAUUUGAUCGAGUAAACUUCCGAUAUAUUCUUUUCCCUUUAACAACAACAACAACAACGACGCACGAAGAUAUUUUAUCCAUACUUUUUUUUUUUUUUUUUCGAAGUAUCGAUAAUAUUAGCGCAGUCGUAUCAUAAAAAAAAGUCCGUCGAAAUUGUCGUUUUCAUUGCAUCUUACGGUAUUUUUUUUUGUUUUGCAUUUUGUUCCUCUUGAUAAGGAAGAAAACAAAAGAUUUAAAGAAAGAAAGAAAAAAAAAUUGGAUUAAUGAGGGACACGGAUAGAGAAGGAGAGAACAUAUGCCUUGUUGGAAAAGGGUCGAGAAGAGGGGGAAGAGAAGAUUUGCGAGAUAAAAUGCAACAUAUUCGGAUUAUUUCAACGUCCGUAAAGAACAAGAGAGAGAGAGAGAGAGAGAUCAUUUUCUCUAGGGUUCUUAGAAAAAACCAGAACCGAAAGAGCAUGGUGUAUUUUUCUUUUUAUUUUUUUAUUAUUAUUAUUCUUUCUUAUUUUUUCCGUUACACAUUUUUUCUAUACAAAUCCCUGUACUAUUUCGUAAUAACGUUUUUUUAAAAGGGGACAUUGCUACGGGUUCUCUGACACCUUCGAAACGAGACAUCGCGAAAAACAGCGUCGGGUUCCAUAAUCUUUUUCCCCAUUUUUUCUUUUUUUUCAUAUUUUCUUUUUUAUUUCUCCCUCUCUCUCUCUCUCUCUCGUUCGUACAUCUCGGAAGUCCGUUGUUAAUGAUCGAACAUCGUGGGCGUGGUUCCUCGCUAAAGCGUGUGAUCCGAUUCGCAGAUGGGCCGAUGCGCAAUUACGUCGUUGCGUCGCAAGUUUCUCUCUACAGUUCUCGGCUUGACGACGACGACGAUGGUUAAAGAGGAAAAGAAACGAAAAAAAAGGGAGAGAGAGAGAGAGAGAGAAUUUAAUUAAAAAAAAAUCAUAAGAUCUUUUUUGAAGGUCUCGAUGAUAGUCUCAUAUCUCUCUAUCUUUCUCUCUUGUAAUAUAUCCUCUUUUUUUAUUUUCGAAAAACAAGAAGAGAACAUAGAAAAACUGUGUGUUCUAUUCCCUUCGCUCCUCUCUAAGCUAAAAAGCUAGUAAUAAUAAUAUAAAACGUCCUCAGGAAGAUCUUUCUCUAUCGAUUGAAGAACGAACUUAUCUUAAAAAUACGUGUGCCUUUAACUAAUUAAAAAAAAAACUAACAAACAACGUACUUCAGAAAUGUAUACAUAUAUAUAUAUAGUUCUAGUUUGUGAGGUUUAAUACCCACAAGCUGAAAGACCUCGAAUCGAUAGUUCAAAAUCGUGCAAUGUGUAUGCAAUAGGAGUGCUGAUUAAGAUCAAAACGAAAUAGAAAAAACGAGCCCUCACCAACCCUACCCUUCCCUUCUCCACCGAACAAUUCAACUCCUUUCAGAUAAAAAAAAAAUGUAAGCUUCUUUCAAUCGUAUUUUCGAAAAAAGGGGAUGAUUAUUAACGCGGGGGCGGGGAAAAAAGGGAGGACUAAAGUCUGGAAUUUUUUUCGGUUUCAUUGCUACGACAACAAUUGAACAAUGUGAAAAACUCUCCAGUGUGCUGCUGGGCGCUGUUGUUGCUACUGUUACUGCUGUUUCUCUCUUUCUUUCGUCGGGAAAAAUUUCACGCGAAAUUCUUCAAAAAAAGAAAAGAAAAAAAAAGAAAAAGAAGCCGUUCGAUUCGUCGCAGCUGCAGGGUUCUCGAACCGCACCAAAUGAACGAACGAACGAACGAACGAACGAGAACGAGAACGAACGGUUAGAAGGAGCGAUAGCGUUCUGCGUCGCGGUCGCGUACCUUCUUUCACUCUACUCUUCUCUCUUCUUCACCCCUCUACUCUCUCCAUCACUACAAUCCCAAUCCCUAAUCCCCUCUGAACCUCUCACGUUCCGUCAGCAAAAUAAGAAGGCAUACAAGGGAGCGGCGGUACAUACGAUCGAAGGCACUCGAGGAGAAGUUUCUCUCUCUCUCUCUCUCUCACGACGAACGAAGGAGAGCAUUUACGAACACGCACGAACAACACACAUCGGGCGACGUCGUCUUUUUCCGUGGUGCGUCGUGCGAAUACGUAGAAGAGAAGGAAAAUGGAGGAAGGUUGCUUUGCUGCUGCUGAUGAUGAGGCUGCUGCUGCUGCUGCUGCUGCUUCUGCUGUUGGGGUAAAGAGGGGAAAUCGAGUGCCACGGUGGCUGGCCGACUGGCUGGCGAAGCGAACCGUGAACCAUGUCCCCCCCUGCCUCUUCAUCCUCUCCCACCUAUCCCCCAUCAAACAAAACCUCUUCUCUCUCUUUCUCUCACACCAUCCUACUCUCUAUCUAUCCAUCUAUCUAUCUAUCUCUCUUUCUCAUUCUUCUUUGCUCACUGCUCGCGCGUCAAGGAAUUUUACUCGCACGGCGGACUUGCUCUAUAGCAGGGCUUCUUUUCUCUUCUCUUUUUCUUUUUUCUUCUUUCUCUCUCUCUCUCUCUCUCUCUCUCUCUCUCUCUCUCUCUCUCUCUCUCUCUGUCCGACGAAUGCAAGACGAACUCUUGUCCUCGGUUUAACAAGACAAGAAUAUAUAUAAAUAUAUAUAUAUAUGUAUGUACAUAUACGUAUAUAUAUAUUCCUGAUCUUUGUGUAGUACCAUGUUCAGAUAUAUUCUCUGUAGGUCAGAACGGGUAUGCUGAAUUGAGGAUUCAAACGGAUUAUUCUUUCAACCAUUUCUCUUCUUUUCUUAGAUGAUACAUGAUAAUAUUACGAUGUAACGAGGUCUCUUUCAAAUAGGAAGAAAAAGAAGGAGAAAAAGAAGGAUGGAUUUGGAUAUAAGAAUUCAUAUAUACAUAUGUUUCAUAAAACUACAUAAAAAAAAUGGGGAAACGACGAACGAGCGUUCGUUAACUUUUAAGAGCGUUGCUCUCUCGUCUUUCACGAGCAAGCAUAAAUCAUAAAUCUCUUCACAUCGAAUAUGUAUGUAUAUAUGCUGUGUACACACACACACACACACACACACACACAUGUAUGUAUGCAUAUAUACACAUACACAUACAACCUAGAAAAUAAAUUUCCUAGGAGAAUCACAAAACGUGCUAUGAUCGAAAACGUUGAGAGUGCUUGGACCAAUCGUUCGUCUUUCUACGUUUGAAACAGGAGACGAACAGGAAAUCAAUACAUCGGUCCACGGUUAAGAGUUGAGGGUGAGAGGGGUGAGAGGGGAGGAAAAGAGGCGCAGGGGAUGAAGAGAAAGAGAGAGAGAGAAGCGUAUAGGACAAAGCAUACAAGUAAAAAAAAAGGGAAAGAAAAAUUCUCCUUCCGUAAAUUUAUCAACGUUAGUUAGGCAGCACACAAUUGUAAAAGUAUUAUAUUAUCAGUAGUACGUUCUCAUCCUCUGGUUAAUUUCAAAUACAUAUCGUACUUUAAUCAUCGCACGUGUGCGCUUUCAUAUCUCAUAUAAACGAUGAUAAAAUAUAUUCCGAUGACGCGUCAAUAAACUUUCCUAUACACGG